GACGAACGCUGGCGGCGUGCUUAACACAUGCAAGUCGAACGGAAAGGCCCUGCUUUUGUGGGGUGCUCGAGUGGCGAACGGGUGAGUAACACGUGAGUAACCUGCCCUUGACUUUGGGAUAACUUCAGGAGACUGGGGCUAAUACCGGAUAGGAGCUCCUGCUGCAUGGUGGGGGUUGGAAAGUUUCGGCGGUUGGGGAUGGACUCGCGGCUUAUCAGCUUGUUGGUGGGGUAGUGGCUUACCAAGGCUUUGACGGGUAGCCGGCAUGAGAGGGUGACCGGCCACAUUGGGACUGAGAUACGGCCCAGACUCCUACGGGAGGCAGCAGUGGGGAAUAUUGCACAAUGGGCGGAAGCCUGAUGCAGCAACGCCGCGUGCGGGAUGACGGCCUACGGGUUGUAAACCGCUUUCGCCUGUGACGAAGCGUGAGUGACGGUAAUGGGUAAAGAAGCACCGGCUAACUACGUG
rnacentral:rRNA from 1 species